CUGGCAUUUCAGUAACAACGUUUACAAUUUUUAUAUUGUAACAGAGUAACAAUGUUAGUCAUUUAUCUAUGACACAUAGAAGAGAGCAGAUAGAACUCCAUGUCGUGGUAAUAUGACAGAAGGAGGAAAAGAUGGUUGCAGCUGUGUUCAAGUUUGCAGAUUUUGUGUUAAGAUAAAGACAAAGCUACCGUCUGGGGACCUCUAUAUUAUUCAAUCUGAGGAGAAUAAUAGAGGUUGUGUAAUAAGUUUGAGGAUAUGAGAGUACGAUACUAUAUAGCCAGCCUUUCCUCUCACAUUUUAAGUUUCAUCUUUCAUGCCACCUCUUGCAAUGCUAUCUCCCGCCAGAGGCCUUCCCUGGUCACACUAUCCCAUGUACUAUGUAACCCCACUCCCAACUAGUCUACUGCUUGAUUUAUUUCCUUCACAACACUUUUCACUAUGUUAGUUUAUUUACUUAUUGUCUUUUUGCCCUAGUGUUUUGUUGGUUCAACUGGACAAAGGAUGCUGAACUUGUUCAUAUCUAUUUCGAUUAUCUUAAUUUCCAUUAGAACUUAAGGUAAUAUUUAUUAAAAAAAAACAGUGAUUAUAGGCUGAAAGGUAAAAGAAGAUGGGGGAACUUUCUUUCUUGAUCAAAUGAUAGGUUUCACAGCAGAGAAAAAUUUCUUUGGGGAGGAAAUAGGAAGUUAUCGUCUACGUUGCUAAGAGUGGGAGUGGUGGGGGGAAGGAGAGGGACAGUUCAGUGACAACAGCAACUGAAAUUCAGCUGAAUAGCCAGGGGAGUCAUAGCCUGAGCAGCCUCUCGUGGAGCAAGCCACAACCACUCUGAGCCUUGGUUUACUCUGACAUGAAAAGAUUUUAGGUGGUCUCUAAGACCUCCAG
rnacentral:lncRNA from 10 species